rnacentral:lncRNA from 1 species
UCACAGCAUCAGGCCUAAAAGGAAGACUGAAAAAAAAAAAAAAAAAGAACUUAUUCAAAUCUUUAACAUUUAAGAGUAAGAGAACGCUCAGGAAAGAUUGUCAUGAAUUACCAGAAAUUGCAAAAGCCCCUGUUACAUGUCUUGGAAACACCUAUCAAGAGACCAAGGCUAGAUAUAAUUUCUUACACAACUCUACGAACGAGAAAUGAAACUGCCUGUCACUGUCCAAGGUGCUGACAAGAACAGCAAUCCAAAGAAUGAGGAACUGGUGCUC